rnacentral:rRNA from 1 species
GACGAACGCGGCGGCGUGCCUAAUACAUGCAAGUAGAACGCUGAAGGAGGAGCUUGCUUCUCCGGAUGAGUUGCGAACGGGUGAGUAACGCGUAGGUAACCUGCCUGGUAGCGGGGGAUAACUAUUGGAAACGAUAGCUAAUACCGCAUAACAGUAGAUGUUGCAUGACAUUUGCUUAAAAGGUGCAAUUGCAUCACUACCAGAUGGACCUGCGUUGUAUUAGCUAGUUGGUGGGGUAACGGCUCACCAAGGCGACGAUACAUAGCCGACCUGAGAGGGUGAUCGGCCACACUGGGACUGAGACACGGCCCAGACUCCUACGGGAGGCAGCAGUAGGGAAUCUUCGGCAAUGGACGGAAGUCUGACCGAGCAACGCCGCGUGAGUGAAGAAGGUUUUUCGGGAUCGUAAAAGCUUCUGUGUAAAGAGAAAGAAACGAAGUGUGAAGAAGUGGAAAAGUUCCACCACUG